rnacentral:rRNA from 1 species
AUGGGUACGCCAUGCACUGAUGAAGACAGGGACUUUUUUGCAGCUGCCACUUCCGUCACAGUUGGCAAUGGGCAUGUGGCUAAGUUCUGGAACUCCUCCUGGCUUGAUGGCAUGCGCCCACGGGACCUAGCGCCUGGCAUUUUCGACCUCUCCCGAAGGAAAAACUGCUCGGUCAAACAGGCUUUAACAAACAACACUUGGAUCUCUCAUAUUGACUUCUCCGACGGUCUCACAGUAGACCAUGUCCACCAGUUCGUCGCACUUUGGGAGAAGAUUGACUCGGUCACUCUGGAUGAGGACGUGGAGGAUUCCAUUAUUUGGAAGUUCACCAAGGACGGAUCGUACUCAGCUUCCUCGGCUUACAAGGCGCAGUUUGAGGGCCUAACUACGUCAGCCAUGGUCCUAUCGGUGUGGAAGGUGUGGGCUCCUUUGCGUGCUGUGCCACAGCAGCAGCGUGUGUGCACCCACGCAAAGCACCAAACAAACCAGAGAGAAAUACUCUAG